rnacentral:rRNA from 1 species
AUUGAACGCUGGCGGCAUGCUUUACACAUGCAAGUCGAACGGUAACAGGCCGCAAGGUGCUGACGAGUGGCGAACGGGUGAGUAAUGCAUCGGAACGUGCCCAGUCGUGGGGGAUAACGCAGCGAAAGCUGUGCUAAUACCGCAUACGAUCUAUGGAUGAAAGCGGGGGACCGUAAGGCCUCGCGCGAUUGGAGCGGCCGAUGACAGAUUAGGUAAUUGGUGGAGUAAAGGCCUACCAAGCCGACGAUCUGUAGCUGGUCUGAGAGGACGACCAGCCAAACUGGGACUGAGACAGGGACCAGGCUCCUAAGGGGGGCAGCAGUGGGGAAUUUUGGACAAGUGGCGCAAGCCUGAUCAAGCAAUGCCGCGUGCAGGAAGAAGGCCUUCGGGUUGUAAACUGCUUUUGUACGGAACGAAACGGUCUGGGUUAAUACCCUGGGCUAAUGACGGUACCGUAAGAAUAAGCACCGGCUAACUACGUGCCAGCAGCCGCGGUAACAC